rnacentral:rRNA from 1 species
CCUACGGGAGUCAGCAGUGAGGAAUAUUGGUCAAUGGACGGAAGUCUGAACCAGCCAUGCCGCGUGCAGGAAGACGGCCCUAUGAGUUGUAAACUGCUUUUGUACAAGGGUAAACCUGAAUACGUGUAUUCAGCUGAAAGUACUGUAAGAAUAAGGAUCGGCUAACUCCGUGCCAGCAGCCGCGGUAAUACGGAGGAUCCAAGCGUUAUCCGGAUUUAUUGGGUUUAAAGGGUGCGUAGGCGGGUUGAUAAGUCAGAGGUGAAAUGUCCGGGCUUAAUACGUGAACUGCCUCUAAUAAUGUUGAAAUAGAGAGUAGAUGCGGUAGGCGGAAUGGAUGGUGUAGCGGUGAAAUGCUUAGAGAGCAUAGAGAACACCGAUUGCGAAGGCAGCUUACCAAUCUAUAUCUGACGUUGAGGCACGAAAGCGUGGGGAGCAAACAGGAUUAGAUACCCGGGUAGUC